UAUGUGAUCGUCUCUCGCAUAUCAAUAAGCGGAGGAAAAGAAACUAACAAGGAUUCCCCUAGUAACGGCGAGUGAAGCGGGAAGGGAACUCAAAUUUGAAAUCUUAAAGGGUUUCCCUUUACGAAUUGUAGUUUAAAGAAGUGUUUUCUGUUGAGGUUUUGGUAAAAGUUCUUUGGAAUAGGACAUCAUAGAGGGUGAGAAUCCCGUAUUUGACCUUUACUUUCAACUUUGUGAUACACUUUCAAAGAGUCGGAUUGUUUGGGAAUGCAGUCCAAAAUGGGUGGUAAAUUUCAUCUAAAGCUAAAUAUUGGCGAGAGACCGAUAGCGAACAAGUACCGUGAGGGAAAGAUGAAAAGAACUUUGAAAAGAGAGUUAAACAGUACGUGAAAUUGUCAAAAGGGAAGCGUUUGACACCAGUGUUGUUUUUCUGAAAAUCAAUUAAAGAACUGUUUAUGCUAAGCUGUUUAGACUUUAUCAGCUAAUCUGUUUAGUUUUGAGCUUUUCUUUAAUGCACUUUUCAGUUAACAAGUCAACAUCAAUUUCUUUUGCUGUAAAAAAGCUUGAGGAAGGUGGCUUGAGAUUCGUCUUAAGUGUUUAUAGCCUCUUGCCUAUGCAGUCGGAGAGAUUGAGGUCUGCAGCGUAGAUCCUUCGGGGCUAAAUGCAUUUGUGCUAAGUUAUAGCAUUUUAUAGACAACUUGUUGACUAUGAUUUGUCUUGUAGCUUACUCGCUUAUGUUAUUUUACCUACGCUUAGGAUGUUGAGUAGCGACAUACGCAC
rnacentral:rRNA from 1 species